rnacentral:lncRNA from 1 species
AUUUCCUUCGCGGUUCCUGAGCAGUGUGUUCUUCAUCCAGACGUAAGCAGCGACACCACACAUUUUGAAGUUGCUGCGAAAAGGUUCGAUAACAUCGAACUGAAAUUUGAUUGUUGAUGUUUUUUUAUUGGAGAACUCCAUUGAAGAUUCAUUGUUCUGAACCCAUUUUCGAUUUUUAGGGUUUUUUUCACAUUUUGAGUAUUUUGUUCUAGGAUUGCAGCAUAUUGACAGUGGGUUAUAUGUAUUUUGAAAUCGAACCCCAUACCCAUUUUCUUUCUAUGUUUUUCGUGAGGAUCUUGGAACUCCGAACAUCAAAAUUGAUGGUAAUCUAUGGUGUGCUAUUUAAAUAUCUUAGAUCUGAUUGUGUUAUUCAUCUAUGGAAUUAAAAUGGGUGGUGUAGUGAAUGAAUAAGGACUCAAUAGUUGUCGGUUUUAAAUUGCUGAGAAGCGAAUGAUAAAAAAUUCAUCCUUUCCGAUCAGUUGAACUCUAUCUUUUCUUUUUACAAUCACGAAGAAAAAUAGUUACUUAGGUAACACUCGCAAUCUAUGUCAAAUCAAGAAGAGAAGUCAGAAAUUGACAUAACUGUUCGGUUGCUGUUGUUGAUAUAAUUUGAACGAUUCUAGCAAUCUUUCUUUUAUUAGGUCCUAUUCCCAGGUCUCUAUAUCACAUUUACCUUAGUGCAUGCUCAUCUUUCUGUAUUUGCGUGAGAUCUGGGCAAGCUACUUAUAGGAGUUAGUUAAGUUUAAAGUGAUGAUCGUGGAUAUUGAUUCUUUCAACAGUUUGAGUUAGCACAAUUAUGCUCUACUUUACUGAUUUUCUUUCAACAGUUUGAGUUAGCAAUCAAAGUCUCUGUUUCAUUUCUGUUUUCUAAGAACAUCGCAUAGCAACGCUACAACAAGUCUUUUCCAAUUUAGCUAUGUUUUAUACUUCUAUUGAUGUGAACUCUUACAUAUUGCAUAUUAGGAAAUUUGCAUGUAACUAUUCCAUCUCGCCGCCAAUUAAAUGCUUAUGUCUAUGCAAUGGUAGAGGAGGUUGUACACCAGCUAUUGCUGCAAAUCAUUGUUGUGUUUGGUGAAUUAGCAAGAAAUAAGUCGAGAAAAAGGAACCGUUGUUUAGGACCCGGGCCUUACACUUUCCUGGCUCGUAUUCCCGAUCAAGUAAAACAUAUGAGUAGGCUUGUUAAUGUUAGUGAUGUUGAUUGUAUUUCAAAUUUACACAAAUCGCCGCAUGUUCUUGUAGAUGUUCUCGACGCAUUCAACGAUGACCUCCGCUUGAGUUUCCGUCUGCUUGACCUAACCCAGCGACUGGAAUUCCUUGAAGAACGUUUCAACAUGUUCAAAUACUUGACAAAUCUGCCACAGACGCAAUGGGAUAUGGCCACUAACACCAUCAACGCCGUUGAUGAAGCUUGGGAGA